rnacentral:rRNA from 1 species
AUUGAACGCUGGCGGAAUGCUUUACACAUGCAAGUCGAACGGCAGCACGGGUGCUUGCACCUGGUGGCGAGUGGCGAACGGGUGAGUAAUGCACCGGAACGUAUCCAAUAAUGGGGGAUAACGCACCGAAAGGUGUGCUAAUACCGCAUACGCCCUGAGGGGGAAAGCGGGGGAUCGUAAGACCUCGCGUUAAUGGAGCGGCCGAUGCCGGAUUAGCUAGUUGGUGAGGUAAAGGCUCACCAAGGCGACGAUCCGUAGCUGGUCUGAGAGGACGACCAGCCACACUGGAACUGAGACACGGUCCAGACUCCUACGGGAGGCAGCAGUGGGGAAUAUUGGUCAAUGGGCGAGAGCCUGAACCAGCCAUCCCGCAUGCAGGAUGACGGCCCUAUGGGUUGUAAACUGCUUUUCUGCUCCAAGAAACCUGAUUACGAGUAAUCAGUUGACGGUAGAGUAGGAAUAAGCAUCGGCUAACUCCGUGCCAGCAGCCGCGGUAA